AUUGAACGCUGGCGGCAGGCCUAACACAUGCAAGUCGAGCGGCAGCGGGACCGUCGGGUUGCCGGCGAGCGGCGGACGGGUGAGUAAUGCCUAGGAAUCUGCCUGUUAGUGGGGGAUAACGCGGGGAAACUCGCGCUAAUACCGCAUACGUCCUACGGGAGAAAGCGGGGGCUCUUCGGACCUCGCGCUAACAGAUGAGCCUAGGUCGGAUUAGCUAGUUGGUGGGGUAAUGGCCCACCAAGGCGACGAUCCGUAACUGGUCUGAGAGGAUGAUCAGUCACACUGGAACUGAGACACGGUCCAGACUCCUACGGGAGGCAGCAGUGGGGAAUAUUGGACAAUGGGCGAAAGCCUGAUCCAGCCAUGCCGCGUGUGUGAAGAAGGUCUUCGGAUUGUAAAGCACUUUAAGUCGGGAGGAAGGGCUGUAGGCUAAUACCUUGCAGUUUUGACGUUACCGACAGAAUAAGCACCGGCUAACUUCGUGCCAGCAGCCGCCGUAACAC
rnacentral:rRNA from 1 species